UACGUAGGGUGCAAGCGUUGUCCGGAAUUAUUGGGCGUAAAGAGCUCGUAGGCGGCUUGUCGCGUCGGCUGUGAAAACCUGGGGCUCAACCCCGGGCCUGCAGCCGAUACGGGCAAGCUAGAAUUCGGUAGGGGAGACUGGAAUUCCUGGUGUAGCGGUGAAAUGCGCAGAUAUCAGGAGGAACACCGGUGGCGAAGGCGACUACCUGGCCUGUUCUUGACGCUGAGGCGCGAAAGCUAGGGGAGCAAACGGG
rnacentral:rRNA from 1 species